rnacentral:rRNA from 1 species
AGUGAACGCUGGCGGUAGGCCUAACACAUGCAAGUCGAACGGCAGCACAGUAAGAGCUUGCUCUUACGGGUGGCGAGUGGCGGACGGGUGAGGAAUACAUCGGAAUCUACUUUUUCGUGGGGGAUAACGUAGGGAAACUUACGCUAAUACCGCAUACGACCUACGGGUGAAAGCAGGGGAUCUUCGGACCUUGCGCGAUUGAAUGAGCCGAUGUCGGAUUAGCUAGUUGGCGGGGUAAAGGCCCACCAAGGCGACGAUCCGUAGCUGGUCUGAGAGGAUGAUCAGCCACACUGGAACUGAGACACGGUCCAGACUCCUACGGGAGGCAGCAGUGGGGAAUAUUGGACAAUGGGUGCAAGCCUGAUCCAGCCAUACCGCGUGGGUGAAGAAGGCCUUCGGGUUGUAAAGCCCUUUUGUUGAGAAAGAAAAGCAGCAGGUUAAUACCCCGCUGUUCUGACGGUACCCAAAGAAUAAGCACCGGCUAACUUCGUG